UACAAAACUUUGAUUGGCGACAUUCUAGGAGAAACUAUGGAAUAUUGUGAGAUGAAAAGUGUGUUUCCAAGUUAUGGUAUGGUGUUUGUGUUAUUUCCUGCCGCUGACACAGCAGCCGAUGCUGUAAAUAAAUUCAAAAAUUCCACUAUGGACAACAAAGAGCUGUUUGUGAGAGUCCUACCCACUAUUCAUCCUGGGCUGUUCCCCCCUGGGAUCCAACCCCUUCUAGUACUGGUUAACUCCAGAAGUGUAGGUGGUCAGGGGGGCCGACAUGUCAGCAGCUUUCCAGAGACUGCUCAACCCUCAUCAAGUGUACAGCCUCACAGAGGGAGGCCCAUUUUUAGGAUUUUACGCUUUCAGAUCUAUUCCUGAUUUUCGUGUCUUGAUCUGUGGUGGCGAUGGGACAGUUGGCUGGAUGUUGUCGUGUUUGGAAGAUGUUGCUCAAGAGUUGAAGUGUAAGUUACCUGCAUCAGCAGUUCUUCCUCUUGGCACUGGUAAUGAUCUCUCUCGUAUCCUCCAUUGGGGAAGUGGUUACUCUGGCGGCGAGAGUCCUGUAUCGCUACUCAUGGCCAUUGACCAGGCUCACGAAGUGUUUCUUGAUAGAUGGUGUGUCAUGUUUGACUCCGUGGACACUAACGUUCCUGACACACUGUCAAACGACAGCGCACUUGGUUCGAUGGGAGGAAGAGAGGACGAUCCUAGUAUUUUUACGAUGAAUAACUACUUUGGCAUCGGAAUUGGAGCUGAUUUUGGUUAGAUUUUCAUCUUCAGAGAGAGGAAGCACCUGAUAAAUUCCAUAACAGGCUUCAUAACAAAGGAGUUUACUUUAGAGCAGGGAUAAAGAAAAUGGUCAAAGGCUACUCGCGGAUAUUUACUCACGAAGUCGAAGUAGAGCAACAAAAAGCCUCUGAACCAAGCUUGACACGUUGUCCCAAGUGAGAUCUUUAAAAUCACUCCGUCGGGGCGAUCGCUAUAUCGGCUGACAUACAUCUCGGCCGAUAUAGCAAUCGAGUCUCGACCCAGUCUCGACCGAGUAUCGGCCGAUUAUCGACCGAGUCUCGACCGACAUAUCGAUCGAUUAUCGACCGCCUCUCGACCGAUAUAUCAACCAAUACAUCGACCGAUAUAUCGGUCGAGAGCACCUGGUAAACAGGAUCGAUACUGAAGAGAUCACAGCGGCCAACCAGAAAACACUAAAUUGCAAGUACAUGUAGACAGUGAGAACUCCAUCAUUUGUGAUCGUGGAUGUUGCAAAUGAAUAAAACACGGUUGGUUUUGGUUUUGCUCUUUAUUGGUUCAAAGAGUGGCUCAAGAUAUCUGAACCAAUCACAAAGCGAAGUUAAUCAAAACAGCUGCGAUCCCGGAUUCCUCUUCGACUCUUAAUUGAGAAUUGCUGACUCCGUUUGCAGCGUUAUGCCUCAGCUUGUCGCUGUGACGUUCUUGUAGAGUAGUUGGACUUCAGGGAGUCAUGCACAUGGGUCAAACUCAAAGUGGAAUCAGGACUGGUAUCCGACUGGCACAGGGAGCCCAGAUAAAUAUCAAAAAAAAGUCAGAGAUGCCUGUACAAAUAGAUGGUGAACCUUGGAUGCAGCCUCCAGGCACUGAUGCUUUCAAAGAGGAAAGUUAAAGUGAAAAACUUAAGAAGACCUUCCAGCUCGUCUCGUCCUCCUUCAAGCCCCAGCGCAACGAGAACUAUUUUUUAUAACGAUUAAACAGAAUUUUCCCGGGUCUUUUCUCACGGAAGAAAAUAAUCUUACAUAUAAAAGGGGCUGAAAGUUAUAGCCGCUUCAUUAGAAACUAUAUUGAAGAUUUGUACCAGCUCUGAUUUAUAUUUAACUUGUUUAUCUUGCAAAGUUUAUCUAUUAAGGUAUUGUUUCAGCCGAGAAAAUGCAAUUUUAAAUUUUGAAGAAAACUAUUGUCAUUUGUAUUGCUCUGGGUGUACGCUGUCUUGCUGACGUCUGUAAAUAUAAAUAGUUAAGACUAAAAUAACUCUUCUUCAGGCGUUACCACUCGAACCUCUUCCGUGUAACUUGCCUUUCAUGACAGAGCUUUAUAACGAAAUGUUACGUCACAGGUACGCGGUCAACAACGCGGGCUCAAGCAUACGUAGUUUAAAAUUUAGCGAAAUUUGCGGAAAGAAAAAGGAGCAAGCAUUUGAAACCAAGGCAUUUUGUUGUCGUCGAAGACAUCUUCCUAUUUCCAAAGUUUUUAACGAGAAAAAUUUGUUUGGAAAAUAUUUAAGGGGUGUACCAAGGUUUUGGAAGUUUUCUGUAAAACAAAAGCGGCCAGGAAAACGACGCCUAGAAGCAACAGAAUUGAAAAUCAACAAAGCAAACGACUCAAAAUCAUUUUUCCCGCGGGAAAAUCUAGCGCGUGCGCAUACGUUCUUCAGCUCUGUUACCAUUUGUGCUUUUGGACUCCAUUUCUAGCAAAGGACAUAAUACUUUCAUUGACUUGGUAUAAAGUAAUUCAGAAACUGCGUCUCAGCCACACUGGGUCUUUCUCUACUCCGCUCGUAAAAGCGCAAAGCCGUCGUAGUCGACAAUACGCGUUAAAGAACCAAACUCAUACCAUGCUAUUCUACAGUCAUGUCAAAAGUA